rnacentral:misc_RNA from 1 species
CACAAACACAUCAGUAGUAA